AGUAGUUAUCAGGGACUGGAGAGAGGGAAGAAUGAGAAGUGACUACUUCAUGGAUACAAGGUUUUCUCUGGGGGUGAUGAAAAUAUUUUGACAUCUGAUAAAGGUGGUGGUAGUACAGCACUGUGAAUGUACCAAUUGCCACUGAAUUGUGCAUUUUAAAGUGAUUGAUUUUAUGUGGAACAAAUUUCACUUUAAUUAUAAAAAGUGAAUAAACUUUUAGAAGCUAACCUUGGAAGAAGGUAGAGACUGGAAGGGAUCACAAGAAAGGCUUCUGGGAUGUUGACCGUGCAGCAUAACUGUCUGACAUUGGCAUGCCAUUUGUAAACUGUCAAAGUGAUGGUUGGGAGUGUAGCAGUGAGGACAACCAGAGGUCACUCUCAUCACCAUCUUGGUUUGGGUUGAUUUCUCUAAGAAGUACAUGCUGAAAUGAAGAUAAGAGUACAAAAUAUUUAUCGGAGAGUAGUAACACAGAGGAGACACAGGAUUUGGCAGAAACACUAAACCAUGGUGAAGACCGGCUAAAGUCUCUUUGUCCAAAGGGGAGCUCUAAAGUAAAUAUGAGCCAUUAAGGGAGCCCCACACUGGAUGGAAAUGGCCAAGCCUUUUUACAACCACCUUCUCCUUGAGACACUGCCUGCAAUUCACCCUGGGAAAGCAAAACCUCAACUGUUUCUGCCUCAUUCAUUCUUUGUCAGUGCCGUAAGAAGAUUGAGAUUUCAGCUUGUAACUGUUGAAGCAAAACCUAAAGUGGUUAAUAAUGGGAGUUUGUCACAACUAUCUUAACACAAAUAUAAAAUAUUUGCAUGAACUGUAAUAACCUUUUAUUUAUAAAUUAAAAACUUAUUGAUAAAAUACAGAUUUCAAUAACAUUAGUAAAAAAUCUUUUCACUUUUCUUAAGUAAUUCAGAAUAGAUCAUCUUUCAUUUUAGUUCCUACACUUGAUCCUUAGAAGAAAAAGAAACCUAUUUUUUUUAUAAUGCAAACACUUUAGUUUAACAUAAACAAGAAAAAGGGAAGACUGGCUGAGAAAAAAAAACUCUAAAAACCAUCUAGCAUAUUCAAAAGAUAAUUCAUGCCUUUGAGAUCAUUUAAGCAGUACAUCACCUUUAGUUAUAAAGAGAAAUGUGAAACUAUUUUUACAAUUAAUUACAUCUAUCAGCAGGAAAUAAAAUGUAUUCAAAAUUGA
rnacentral:lncRNA from 1 species